rnacentral:lncRNA from 1 species
CCAAAGUUUAUUAUUAUUAUUAUUAUUGCUGUUAUUAUUUUGCAUAAAAUCAGCCAGAAAAGUGGCAGCAGUUGGCAGUUAAUUUUGCAUUGCUUGCAGGUGUGUGAAAGAAUUAAAGCAAGGAGAGGGGGAGCAGGGCUGGGGGUUGUGCUUGUGGGGGCUCUGAGGAGCUCCCUGGGGGAAGGAGGAAGGAUUCAGGAGUCCCUGUGGCAGGAGGAGAGCCAAGCCCUCGGUGAUGCUGCGUGCUGUCUGCACUGGGGCAUAGCACCCCUUGCUGCCUCAGCUGCUGUUGUGUAUUCACCUGACAAGGGCCAAAAAGUGAUCGAAGUCCUACAGAAACUGCACGGAGCAAUUCAGCUCCCGUGUUCAGACCCACUGCUCUCACUGAUGUCUUCGGGCCAUGCCAAGGACCUCAGCUCAGGUCUGAGUAAGAGCGGGGACCAUUUGCUCUUCUGCUCGUGUCUCUGUGAUUGUCCAUGCGUUUUGAGCUAUCUCCAGAUAGCAUUAAAGGGCUUGCUAAUGUGUUGGGAAAGCCUAUUUCUCUUUUUUAAAAAAAAAAAUUAAAAACCCCACUCAUUUAAAAGUGACAUAUUGUGUUCAUAUGUGCCAACAUGAUCCUUGAUCUUACACCAGGACUUAGAUGACUUCUAUGGAACCUGCUCACACAACCUGUCUGCACAUACGAGGCGCACAUUCUGCAGCUCCUUGGUGCUCCUCUUGUGGUAGAGAGAAAAAAUGAGUCACUCCUGCUUCCUCUCUUCCUGCACAGUGAGCAGGCUGGGAAAUAGGGUGGGCAUCCCACAUUUCUGAGACAGGAAACCAAAUUCUUGCUUCACCGUUACGUGUGAUGUGAGUCAAGGCUGGCCCCACGGGAAGGGGCAGCACUGUCGCUUCUGAGGGGUGUUCCUCUGCGGAAAGGCUGUGAGCCCUCUUUGCCAUUGAGGAUGCCCCAGAAAGCUGUGCCAAAGCAGCACAGAGGAACGUGAUCUCCAAAGAAGGCUGGGAUGAGUUGGUGUGGAGGGCAAGAUGAGAUUAUCCAACCAAUUUCUCUAAGCAAACGCUUGUCUUCCUUCUUCCUCACCUCUCAUGGCCCCUUGGUUUGGUGGUACUUAAAUGCCUCUGCACAAUUUGAGCUCCCAUGGCACUUCCAUUGGGGAAAGAACCCAAAAGAGCACGAAGGUUUCUUACAUUCUUGAGCAAACUGAAAAUCUUGUUCAGACACGGAGGGAGAGGAGGGGAGCUGCAGGUAGGAAGGUGGGCUCUCCUGUAGCGAACUGGAGGCGUGAGCUUGCCCCUGGCAAAGGGCUGCCCGCUGCUCAGCUCUAAUGGAAAACAGGCACAGUAACCUUCAGCAUGCUCCUUGCUGGUAAUUAGUGGGGGACUAAUUAGUACUUGUAGGCCAGAGUCCAUAGUGGGCAUUUCCCUAAUGAUCAAAAAGCCAUGGCGUGCAGCACGGACUGCAUCCUGCGCUCUCCAUCCCCCUGGGGAAGGAAGCCUCGCACUGCUGUCUCGCCACGCUUCCUAACAAAAAGUUCAAAUCCUAACUUAACUGUAUAUAUUUUCU